GUCGAGCGGUAGCACAGAGAGCUUGCUCUCGGGUGACGAGCGGCGGACGGGUGAGUAAUGUCUGGGAAACUGCCUGAUGGAGGGGGAUAACUACUGGAAACGGUAGCUAAUACCGCAUAACGUCGCAAGACCAAAGUGGGGGACCUUCGGGCCUCAUGCCAUCAGAUGUGCCCAGAUGGGAUUAGCUAGUAGGUGGGGUAACGGCUCACCUAGGCGACGAUCCCUAGCUGGUCUGAGAGGAUGACCAGCCACACUGGAACUGAGACACGGUCCAGACUCCUACGGGAGGCAGCAGUGGGGAAUAUUGCACAAUGGGCGCAAGCCUGAUGCAGCCAUGCCGCGUGUGUGAAGAAGGCCUUCGGGUUGUAAAGCACUUUCAGCGGGGAGGAAGGCGCUAAGGUUAAUAACCUUGUCGAUUGACGUUACCCGCAGAAGAAGCACCGGCUAACUCCGUGCCAGCAGCCGCGGUAAUACGGAGGGUGCAAGCGUUAAUCGGAAUUACUGGGCGUAAAGCGCACGCAGGCGGUCUGUCAAGUCGGAUGUGAAAUCCCCGGGCUCAACCUGGGAACUGCAUUCGAAACUGGCAGGCUAGAGUCUUGUAGAGGGGGGUAGAAUUCCAGGUGUAGCGGUGAAAUGCGUAGAGAUCUGGAGGAAUACC
rnacentral:rRNA from 1 species